CAGCAGUAUAGUCCAGCUUCGGCUCGGCAUGAGAGGGAGACCAUGGAAAGAGAGGGAGAGGGAGACCAUGGGGAGAGGGAGACCAUGGGGAGAGGGAGAGGGAGAGGGAGAGCAAAAUCAGUAUUUUUCUUAGUUACAGAGUGAUUAUACAGAAGAUGCAACAGAUACUAAACCUGAUAGGGAUAUCGAGUUAGAGCUUUCAGCACUUGAUACUGAUGAACCUGAUGGACAAAGUGAACCAAUUGAAGAGAUCUUGGACAUACAGCUUGGUAUCAGUUCUCAAAAUGAUCAGUUGCUAAAUGGAAUGGCAGUGGAAAAUGGGCAUCCAGUACAGCAGCACCAAAAGGAGCCACCAAAGCAGAAGAAACAGAGUUUAGGUGAAGACCAUGUGAUUCUGGAGGAGCAAAAAACAAUUCUGCC
rnacentral:lncRNA from 1 species